rnacentral:lncRNA from 1 species
CUUCCUUUGCUGGACUGGGAGGCCCGUUUGCGCAAACGUCCCGCAAUAAACUUACCUCUUAUUUUUACAUCAGCUGGACUGGAUAUUGAGUUUUUUGGGGGGACCCUCCGAUUUGUGGAGGCUCCUCUAUCCGAGGGUCUUUCAACCUACCCUCACAUCCCCUAAUUGUGCCAGCCCCUGGACCCACAUAGUCACCUGCAUGUCAGUGACGCUCUUUGACCUGACUAUUAAGAGAGUGAUGCCCUGUUUUUAUAGCUUCCUGUCAUACUUCUGCUUUCGUUGGCUAAGGGGUUCGGCUGGAGUCCAGCCCACGUUCACUAUGUUCCUGCAUCAUAACAGCCAGCGUUUGUGCAGUGGACGAGGGGAGAUCCUCUUGCCUCUGAGACUAUACAGCAGCCCAUAUGGACUGACUUCGACAUGCAAAAGAAGAAAGUUCAUCACCCCAACAUAGGAAGGAAGACAUCUUUCUACUGUACCAGAGACCUCCUGAUUCACUCAGGAUAUACAGGUCCUAAGAGGCUGUGGGUGUGACUUGAGGCCAGGGGUUGAGAAGUCUUAAGAAUAGUCACCAGUCAUCAUAUGCUUUUGUCUUCAUUUUGUUGUUGUUGUUGUUCUGGUUGUUUUGUUUUGUUUUGUUUUUGAGAUAUGGUUUCUCUGUGUAACCUUGGCUAUCCUGGAACUCUCUCUGUAGACUAGGCUGGCCUCGAACUCACAGAGAUACACUUGGCUCUAUCUCCCUGACUGAGUGCUGUGACUAAAGGUGUGUACCACCACUGCUUGACAGCACCAGUCAUCUGUUAAUGGGAGUGGCAAGGAGUUCUUCCCAAGGGAAUGAAAGGAGACCCUUAUGCAAAUGCCUGAUCCCAGGAAUAGGACAGCUGGGGAGCAGACACUUAAUGGCACUGCCAUUUCGCCCCUCCUAACUUGCCCAAAGGGCAAGGUGCUGACACCUCAGUCUUUUCCUAUGGUAACGCACCUUUCUGAUUUCUCUGUAUUUAUUAAUUAACUGCACUCUUGCCUUUAAUGGGCUCAGGCUCCCUCAGGCUUUGCAUCUGAAUUGUAGGCAUUUCAUCCUUGCCAUCCGGGUGCCUAGUAAACAUUUUAACAUUCCUGUCUUGGUGUCCUUAGGAGGGCACAGUGGAAUUCUUGGUCCCCUGGUGUUACGAUAAAUCUUUCCACCAAAAGCCACCCAAGCCCUACUGCCUCGUGGGCAGUCUCCACCAGCCGCCUGCGUUCUGCUCGCCGAGUUAGGGCCCAAAUUAAUGCACAGAGACGUGUAUUAGGUCCAAUGCUGCUUGGCCAAUUACUAGGAUUUCU